rnacentral:rRNA from 1 species
AUGACAACAAAGCCUCCCCUCCCGGCGCACCUCUUCUCCUUCCUCUGCCUAGUACCUGCGGAACCCCGCGCCCGUGUCAUCCCCACGCUCGUCGCCUCCCCUUCUCUCAAGCCCUGCAUCCCUGCCGAGGUGAGCACCGAGUUCCAUCGCAAGCCGCCGCCCGGACCAAGCCGGAGCCCGUCGGCCUCCUCGCUGCCGUCGUGCCCACAGGGCCACCAGCAUGACCUGCGCCUCCUCCAUGGCCUCACUCCUUGCUGCCAUGGACGCGAGGGUCGAGCUCGCCGCCCCACCGCGUCGCUAAGGCCGCCGGGCACUGCAGCCUGCCGGCCUACCCCCUGCGUCGUCAUCUACAGCCACCUCGUCGUGGCCUCUCCGAGCUCUGCCCGCGUCGAUGCCUCAGGCCUCCAUCGAUCCACCCGUCCAUCCAUGCCCGGAGCAGCGCCGCCCUCGCCGGAGCAAGCGCCAAGGUUGCCUCCGCCGACCGGUCCGCCUCAGCGCCUCCUCCCACUCGCGCCUCCUCCUGCCUCGUCCUCGUUCCCACGCCGCUGGUCGCCGGAAACCAGCAGGAGAAGCCCCGCCUCCGCUCGACGACCCGUGCCAUUCACUGCUGCCUGCUCCGUUUUCCCUGCGCACCUUGUUAGUACUAAUCUUGAUGCAGGUAGUUAG